rnacentral:rRNA from 1 species
CCUACGGGAGGCAGCAGUGGGGAAUAUUGCGCAAUGGGGGAAACCCUGACGCAGCAACGCCGCGUGAGUGAGGAAGGACUUCGGUCUGUAAAGCUCUGUUAAUGAGGAAAAAUGGUAGUUGGUCUAAUAGGCCGAUUAUUUGAUGGUACUCAUAGAGGAAGCACCGGCUAACUUCGUGCCAGCAGCCGCGGUAAUACGAAGGGUGCAAGCGUUGUUCGGAUUUAUUGGGCGUAAAGCGCGCGUAGGCGGACCUGCAAGUAAGAUGUGAAAUCUCGAGGCUCAACCUCGAAACUGCGUCUUAAACUACAGGUCUAGAAUCUCGGAGGGGGAAGGGAAUUUCGCAUGUAGGGGUAAAACUCCGUAGAUAUGCGAAGGAACACCAGAGGCGAAGGCGCCUUCCUAGGACGAGUAUUGACGCUGAGGCGCGAAAGCGUGGGGAUCAAACAGGAUUAGAUACCCUGGUAGUCCACGCUGUAAACGAUGAACACUAGGAUUGGAGGAUUUGACCCCCUUNAGUGCCGUAGCUAACGCGUUAAGUGUUCCGCGUGGGAAAGUACGGUCGCGAAGACUUAAAACGUUAAGUAGUUAGUUCGUGNGUUGAGAGCGACGACGACGACGAGGAGGAGG